rnacentral:lncRNA from 1 species
CGCAGAGCGCGGGCUCCACACGGCAGGCCUGGUGGCCUAGACCGGCAAGCUGCACAGAGACAGCGGCCUGCGGCCUGCUCUCUGCUCCCACGGGUCCGCCUAUGCACAUUACCCUUGUUCCAUUACUUUUUCAUGCCAUUUUUUUUAUCCCAAAAAAUAUUUUUUAAAAGUUAAAAAAAAAAGACAUAUCAAACAUGCAAAUACUUGAAUCCAGCAGGCCAAUAAGGAAAUGUGAACACUUGCCGCGUCGAAUUCUACACUUCCAGGCUGACAUCAGUGCACAGAAACAGGCUCUAGGAAACAUUUCUGAGUUCACAGCCUAUGUGCGUGUGUGUGUGUGUGUAUGUGUGGAAACAGAAGCGUGUAUGCGUGUGUGCACGUGCGCGUGUGUGUGCACUUUCUGUGUUUGUGUGUUCUGUGUGUGAGGGAUUUAACUGUGGGUUUUCCCUUUUAUUCAGUAUAUGCUUUUUUUUUGGCGCAUUGGUCAAACGUUUGUUACUAUUAUUAGCUUCUAACUUUGCACUGAGUGUCCCUGCCCUUCCUUUUGCUAAUCCUAUACAUGAAAGAGAAUUCAUAGGACAGGGCCGGUGACAAUUCAUGUGUAAAUGUUUACUCAAGGACUCUGUUAUUGCGUUUAAAAAUUACAGUGUAUAUCUCUGGAGAAAUAAUAUGUAUACCUACCUUUAGCAGCUUUUUAUUGUGGACUAAUGCAAGAAACUGAUUACCAGAGUAUUGCACCGUGUUUCCAUGUGGAAUAGAAAGUGAGAGAGAAGACAGCUGUUGCAGAAGUGUGGCCAUAGAUCCUCGCGGAGAGCCGAUGGCUCCGCGGGGGAAACGGAGACAAGCACUUGGACGUGGGUGGUGACCGCUUUUGGAGGGGCCCGUGCUCAGGGCUCCCACCUGUUUACAGACCUUUUUUUCUCCUUCAGACUUUAAAAUAAAAAAAUUUUAAAAAGGAAUUUAAAAAAAAAAAAAAGAAAAAAGAGACUUCCGUGGUAAAGAAACCUAUUUUCAGAAUGCAGAUACGCUACUUCAGAGCUCUGGGAUUGAACAGUAUCGUCGCUUCCCUCCGGCCAUCGUUGUGGACUGUCGAUUGUUCCCCGUCGUUGAGGCGACGAGACGUUGUGGUCACUGUCUUGCACAUGCGGAUGCGCUCUCAGGAAAGCCAGGGUUCCCGAGGGGCAGCUCCACACCAUUUCAUGUAUUUUGUAACCCAACUCCUAGCACUGAAGAUGUUAUUAAAAAACAAACAAAAAAAAAAAAUAAAGAAAAAAAAGAAAAAGAAAAAAAACACAAAGAAGGAAAAUACCUAAUCUCUAAUGUGUAGCAGUUACAUAUUUACCAAAUAACGGACUCAAAAGAAAUAGAUGUUUGAAGAGUGCUUUAUAUAUUAAAAAUUGCUUUAUGUUUUAAAAAUGAUCAAUGUUUUGAUUGUUUUGCAAGAAAGACAGACAAUGGAGUAACAUACCCUCAAGUAUGUUUAAAAAUAUAUGAACAUUGUGCUCCCUGCCUGCUUGAUCAGGAAACUUGUGCAUUACAUUUUUUUUAAUUAGCUUUUUAAUGGUUUUAUCAAAACAAAACAAAAAAAAGAACAAAAAACAAAAAA